CUCUUCCUCCUGCUACUGCCAUGUGAGAUACCUGCCCCUACUUUGCCUUCUUCCAUGAUUGGAAGCUUCCUGAGGCCACCCCAGAGUCAGAAGCCGCUAUGCUUCCUGGACAGCUUGCAGAACCGUGGAUGAAAUCAAGGCUUGCUGCUGACAAAAUAUAAAUCAUGCCAUAUGAUGCCAAUUCUAAAAUGCCAUUAAUUCUCCUCCAUUAACCCCUGCAGAGUAUUCACUGACUGCUGAAACUAGAGCAUCACUGAGAAGCAAGAGAUAGACUGACCUAACUAGAGGGAGAGCUGCCAUCCAGGAUGAUGCCACCAUCACAGGAGCAAUGUGAGGAAAGUGGAAUGAACUUGGACUUUGAAGGCAAACUAACCUGGAAUCAAAUACUGGCUCUGCUGUUUGCAAGUGUGAUCUUUGGGUAUGCUUCCUAAUCUGUGAGCUUCAACUUCCUCCUCUGUAAACCAAGAUCAAAGACAAACAGGGAAACCUACUUGUCUGGUGCCCAUCCCCUUGGCAGAACACUCCUCUGAAGGAUGACAGUUUGGCUGUGCCAGGGCAGAGCUGCCGACACCAAAUGAGCCUUCAUAGCAACUAUCUGAUGAGGAACUCACUGGCCUACCUUUCCUUGACAGCUGGGGCCUGCCAGCCUUGAAGCAUGACUCCACAACGCCCCUACCCAAGGCCAUGGAGGUUGCUGCUGAUGAGCAAGCUGUUUUAUAUUUAAUCCAGGUUUCUGCUUGGAGAGGAAGAAGGUAGAGGAGCCAGCGAAGGUUUGUCUGAAUGAUACUUGCAGAAAAAACACUGGUAACAGUCACAAAACUUUGAAAAUUAAAGUGCCAGCGAGGUGGCUUUUGGUGGCCAGAUGAAAGCUGUUAACCCCAGCUUUUACAAAUGCUGGGCUUUGAGUAAGAGGAGAGUGUCUUUCUGGAAAAGUUUGAGACCUCUUACUAUUGUAGCAGCAAAAGCAUCCACGGCUAGUGUUUUCCAAGCUCACUGCUACUUGUUGCAGUCUAGCAGUGUUGUGUCUCCUGAAAUUCCUACCUUUCUUGAUGGAUGUAAAAGAAGUACCAAUUUAUUAAGCUCCUAGUAUGUGCCAGAUGCUCCAUAUAUGUUACUUUUGAUCUUCAGAACCACUCAGCAACUUACUGCUUCUCCUCACUCCCAAUUACAUAGAUGAUGAAAUUGAAGCAGAGUAGUUUGUCUAGGAUUACAGAGCUAGGAGGGACCAGAGUUGGGAUUCUCCCUCAGUUCUAAUACACAGUAUGCUACAUUUCCUGUCGAGUAGUAACAAAGCUUCUAAGAAAUCUGAGUUUUCAUUUGUUAAAACUGAAUUUUUAAGAAAUGUAGACAGGAGCACUAAGUACUCUAUAGUUUAACGUUAAUAAUGGUACAAGUAUAUAACCAGUUUCUCAUGCACUGGCAUAACAUACUUCAGAGGGUACACCAGGGCUGGAUGAAUAUCUGAACCCAAAAAUAUCUGAGACAGGUCUCAGUUAACUUAGAAAGUUUAUUUUUCCAAUUUUGAGGACAUGCACCCAUGACACAGCCUCAGGUGGUCCUGACGACAUGUGCCCAAGGUAGUUAGGGCAAAGCUUUUUUUUAUACACUUUAGAGAGACAGGAGAUAUCAAUCAAUAUAUGUAAGAUGUACAUUGGUUAUGUCCAGAAAGACAGGACAACUAAAGCAGGGAGGGGGCUUCCAGGUCUUAUGUAGGUGAGAGAUAAAUGGUUGCAUUCCUUUGAGUUUCUGACUAGCUUUUCCAAAGGAGGCAAUCAAAUAUGCAUUUAUCUCAGUGAGCAGAGGGGUGACUUUGAAUAGAAUGGGAGGCAGGUUUGCCCUAAACAGUUCCCAGCUUGACUUUUCCGUUUAGCUUAGUGAUGUUGGGGCCCUGAGAUUUAUUUUCCUUUCACACUUCUUCCAUUUUCUUUUUAAAAAUCUUUUGAAGAAAGCAUUUUAGAAGAAAAUGAGUCUCUGCUCUCAUGGCUAGGAUAGUUUAUUCCUACAGGGGUAGGUCCCAAGUUAUUAGGAAAGCUCAUUUUUAGCAGAUUGAGAAGUCUCAUGUCCUGUGAAGAGACAAUAGUAGGAGGAAGGGAGAAAAACAACAAACAAGAGAACAAUCCUAGAAAAUCUAUAUAGACCACAUUACUUUGAAGUCCAUACAUCAGUAGGUAGGUAUGAAAGUGGCUUAUGUACCUAAAUAGUUUGCUUUUAUUUUCUUCUGAAGUUUAAGUUGUCUAGAUUCAGUUUGCAGGACUUUAGAAAGUACAGCUUAGUUUUCAAUUAUUUCGAAUUAGGAAAAAUGGGGUGAGGGGAAGGAAAAGAAGGAAAAAAAUUGAAAACAUUAUUUUGGAGACUUGUAGCCAGGAAAAAUUAGAAUUCAGUCUAAACUGUAGAAAAUAAUAAAAAUAGAAAAACAUUAGGCAAGACUAAAAUCUAACAACAGGUGCACUAUAGUUUUUGAAACGUAUUUUUUCUCUCUCCAGUUUCCCAUUUUCACUAAAAACAAAUCAUAGAAGAACCAAUUUGCUUUAUUAUACUUGGCCAGAUUAUUUGUAUGAAGUGAAGCAAGAAUAAUUAUUUUUCACAUAGGCUUUUAAAAUUAGCUUUGAUGGACUUCUUCCAUAGAAGGAAUCUCACAUAAGCCUUUUUUAAAGCCAAGCCCAGCCACAGAUUUGUACCAUCAAAUACCUAUGAGUUGGGUGAAUUAUUCUCCUUUUGAGUUCCAACAUAACUUAGGGCUCUUGGGCCUGUCAGAAAGUGACAUUCUUUACUUACCACAGGUCAGGAACACCGUUCAGGGACUGUGCAGACAAGGUAUGAGGCCAGUUUCCCCAAGGGGUUUUUAUUGGCUCUAUAAAUCAAGUUUAAUACCUUAAAGGAAAGCACACCAUUCCAGCCAAAGACUCAGUAAAAUAACCAGUUUCUCCAAUUGUGUCCUGUUACAAAUAAAAACAGAUUCUUAUUUCACUUAUGCAAAUAACUAUAUUGCCGUAAGUCACGAAUACUUACAAGUAGUUUCCAAAUUUUGGAGAAAUCAGGUAGAGAGAAACAAAUAAGCUCCAAAUUUCGUUCAUAGGAGUAUACUUGUUAAAAGCUGUCAAUAGCUCAAAAGAAAAGUUUCCUUGACUCUGAAAAACAAAACAAAGGAUCAGCAACGUUUUGUGCAAAAAGUCAAAAAGACUACUUCAGUCUUCUACUGGUUCAGUCCAUGCAGUUAAUUUCUGUUCUGCUUGAUAUUCGUGAACAUUUCAGCUCUCCGUAAGUCCUGAAAGUUUUUCCUCUUUUCUAAUGUCACAAUCUCCAAAGUUAUCAGAAAACUGCAUUCAAGAACACAUGUUAAGAGUUUUAUAGCUGAUUAUAAAACUACCUUCAAAAGAGGAACAAAACAAGACAACAAUUGUCCAUGGAUGACAAAAAAUUUUAGGGCAGCCAUAGUCAAAGACACAGUUGACAAGAAAAUUUGUUACCUCUGUGGCAUACAAUAAUUUAACAUAACAAUUAUAAUUACUGAUAACAUACACUAAGUCAUAUCAGAAUUUUAGGAGUUUCCUAUUAUUUUGGAACAGAUACCAAUAACACAUUUAUACAAAUACAGCCCAAAGAAAACCAAAUACCAUUUCAUAUUUGACAGUGCUUCCUGUAUAAUUUUUAUACCAAAUAAGACAAAUAUGUCAUUUUUGGACUUUAGGGAACAUAAUAUUUUAAAGGAUGAAUUAGGUCAGAUAAAGACAUAAUUUAUAAUUUGAUUUUGGAAACUUUGUCAAAUAUCAAAGGUUGAAAACACUUGAUAUCACAAAAUAAGAUCACAGGUCAUUGUAAAAAGUCAUUUAUUUAACCAAAGUGAUAACUCAAGGAUUUAAAAAAAAAAAAGGCAAAAACCUUCAUUAUUUUAGAGAGGAGACUUAAUUUCCCAAACAAGCCCUAAUAAAAACAGCAUGAAGCCAAUUAAAUUUGCUUUCCAAAAUUUUAUACACAAUCUAUAAAAUUUUAAUCCUGACUAUAAGAUAUAACUUCCAUAAACCUUUUAUAACUUUUAUAACCUUUAUUAAGGAGUCAGUCAAUGCUUCCAGAAAACCUUGUUAAUACUACACAGGGAACCAUAUGAUGGUCUUGCAUCAGUAUGCCUUUGACAUUAACGGUUAAUUUAUAGAGAAACAACUUAUUUUCUCUAUCAUAAUCAGUCCUUACAAUCUUAAACACACACCUCUUCCACAGAAUAGUCCCUGGGCCUUGAGGAGUUGAUUAGCUUUAAUUUCUGGCCUUGUGUUUUAGGAAUCCAGUUUAUUUUGAUUGACUUCUUCUACCAGACCUGAAGAUGAGGAUUUAAUUGCUGUCAGUGUUUAAGAUUUAGCAAGACUUGGUGUCCUUUUUAGACCCAGGAGUCAAAGCCCUGUAACUCAAUGUCACAAGUACUUUAAAAGCACAUACAGAAAGAUACACGGAUGUAAUACCUUUAAUUUUUUAAAAAUUUUCUUUUAACCUCAGUUUUUUUCUAAACAAACCAAAACUUAAUAAUAAUGGCAUAGGAAUUAUUUCAAUAAAAUGUAAAAUCUGUUAGUCAGUUACCAAAAAGCAAAACAAAAGACCUUCUGCAGUGCACAAAAUAUUAUGUUGGAAGAAAACAUUUCCUUUAGACCUGUAUUGUUAGCAUCAGGCCACAACAAACAGAACUCGAGGGAAAAAAAACUUACAUGAGCUGAAAAUGAGAUGAAAGUGAGCAUUACUAUUUUACACAUUUUAAAAGGGGAGAGAAAACCAAAAAUGGUGAGAUGCAAUAAAAGUUGAACUUUGGGUUAAAAAAAUUAAAAUGUCUUACAAUUUAUUAAGAGUAAAUCCAGCCAGGCAUGGUGGCUCAUGCCUGUAAUCCCAGCACUUUGGGAGGCUGAGGCAGGCAGAUCACGAGGUCAGGAGUUCAAGACCAGCCUGGCCAAUGUGGUGAAACCCCGUCUCUACUAAAAUUACAAAAAUUAGCCAGGCGUGGUGGCAGAUGCCUGUAAUCCCAGCUACUCGAGAGGCUGAGGCAGGAGAAUUGCUUAAACCUGGGAGGCGGAGGUUGUAGUGAGCCGAUAAUGCGCCACUGCACUCCAGCCUGAGUGACAGAGCAAGAAUCUGUCUCGGAAAAAUAAAGAAAAAGAGUAAAUCAAUCCCCUAAGAAACUUUUAUUGUUCUAAUCAAUUCUUUAAUGUGUAAGUGUGUUUUUUUACAUCAAACCCAAUUUCUAGAAAGACCAUUAUAAUUUCCCUUUAAUCAUAUACAACUUGAUCAUAUAAAAGUUUUGUUUUGUUUUGUUUUGUUUUGUUUUGAGACAGACUCUCACUCUGUCACCCAGGCUGGCAUGCAGUGGCGCAAUCUUGGCUCACUGCAACCUCCACCUCACGGGUUCAAGCAAUUCUCCCUGCCUCAACCUUCUGCGUAUCUGGGAUUAUAGGCACCUGACACCACACCUGGCUAAUUUUUUUGUAUUUUUUAGUAGAGAUGAGGUUUUGCCAUGUUGGCCAGGCUGGUCUUGAACUCCUGACCUCAGGUGAUCCACCUGCCUCGGCCUCCCAAAGUGCUGGGAUUACAGGUGUGAGCCACCGUGCCCGGCUGAAAGUUUUUUUUUUUAAAUAAAUCCUCUUAUUGUGACUUACACAGAUCAUUCAUGACAUGCUUGGACUUUCUGGUUUGUCCUGAACAUCCCUCUUUCUUAAACAACCCGUCAUCUUAUUCCAGAAUAAAUUUACCAUACAAGAUUCUUUCUCAUAUAAAAUUAUUUCUCUUUGAGCUUUCUUAGCAAAAAAUACCUUUUAUUUCUGCAACUUUCUUUACAUCUGCCUCAUUUCCUGGUUUCUUUUAUCUUGUUUUAUAUAUAACCUUAAAAUAAGCUUUGAAUUAGACAAAAAUUGUUCACCUUUUAAAAAGGACACAUUUUGUUUUUUAGAAAAAAUAUUUUCCUAUAAUAUAUUUUCAUUGUAAAAUACCCAAAUAAUGAAAUAUCCAUUAUUUAAUUUAAUGCAACCUUAGAUUCUAAAUUAUGACAAGUUUAUCUAUAAGUAUUUAUCCCAUUACAUUUACCUAAUUAUUUUAAUUGUUUACCUAGAUUAUUUAUGAAAACUAUGAUAGUCAUCAUUUAAAGUUAUGAAACUCACCAUUGCAAAAUUAUAAUUGACACAGUGAAAAAGAUAUGACCUAACUGACUCCCUCUUGCCGCUAACCUCCAAACUAUCCUUGUUCAUUCCUGGGCAUAGGCCGAACUGACUGUGGGAGGAACUUAGUUUGGUUUAGCUUUGAAACAAAGAUGAUAACAGUCAUUUCCCAAAAGAAACCUUAUUGCCUGUGGACUAGACUCCCUAAGGCCACAAGAUUAGAAGUUACAGUAAUUUUACUAAAUAAUUCAAGAUGUAGCUAUUUUCAUUAAACCAAUAUCAAUGUCUUAUUUAUUAAAAAUUAACACAAACAAAAAUCAUUCUGUUUUAGGCUGGGUUUAUAGUUUUGUAACCCUAUGCCAAACUUUGACACCUUACAGUAUUUGGCAGGGAUAAAUAUGAAAUGACUUGAUCCAUAAAUGCAAACGAAAAUGUAUGCUGGCAAUUCUUAAGACAUUUCUAAUAUUACUUUGCCAGUAAUUUUAAAGCUAGCUUAUUUAUUAAAGAUUUUACUUAAAUCACAUAAACUUGAAAAAGCAUUUGGCUAGUCUUUUCUUUUCUCUGAUAAAGCAUUGGAUUUAAGCACCUUUAUUUUUCUGCAAGCCAAUUAAUUACAGCUCUUUUAUAUGUUUUUAGUAGUGAAACGUGUACAUAACACAUAGAUACAUAGAUGUAUUAGGCAUACUGAUAGAAGUACAUCUUAUAGAUUCCUAAGACCUCCUUUUGUUUUCCCCUGUCUUAGACUUGCAAACUCAUGAUAACCUGUUUCAUUAACCUGGCAGUUGUCAGCUAAAUAGCCCUAAACCUGCAUAUUGAAGGAAACAACUCUUAGAUGAAAAAUCAGAUAGCAAAAUUUAUAUCUCAAGGUACAGACAGAAAAAGUCUAGUGGUGCUAGAGGGAGAAUAAAGAUGGAUGCCAAAUCAAACAUAAAAUUAUAGAACUCUAUCAUGGGAUUGUAUGAGGAGACCAAUUUUAUUCAUAUAGGGAUUAUUUCUUUUUUGCCUAGAUCUCUGAAAUCUGGGCAGAGCCCACACUGAAUCCUGGGUCUCCAAAAAGGGAGAAUUAUUAUGAGGCUAGACCAUGUAAUGCUUUUGCAGUGCACUUAAAACAAUUGUUUUUAAGCAAAGACAUUUCAAAGUGUCUAAAUUACACUCUUCCUUAAAAACUGAAGAGUAGCCUCUGUUGCAAUACCUAUUUUAGUCAAUAAAUCAGGUAACACAAUACAAACGCAAGCAGUUUAAGAGCUGAUACAAGUUGUCUGUUUACACUCUUGGAGUUCCAUAAUGAAAAAUGGGUUUCUCCCCAAUAGGGAGUCUGGUGCCUUCUCCAUUUUCCUUAAGGAACCCCAGGCUACUAUAAACUAUUUUAGGCCCCUCAUGCGGCAGAGGGUGCAAGAGAAAGGAGAGACAGCAGAAGUAAAUGAAGAAAACAGAAUUCAGCCAACUGAGAAGAAAAAAUCUUUUGCUCAAAAAAAGAGAGGAAGUCCUAGGAGAAAAACAAACAAACCAUGAUGUCCUUUUAAAUACAAACACCCACACACACACACACACACACAAAUUGCUGCUAUUGCAGAAGUACCAAGUAUCAAACCAGAAAGGGCUUGAUUUAGGAACCAAAAUCAGGCUGUUGUGGUGAAAAAAAAAAGAUGGCAGAACCCUUAGCUAUGGAACUGCAGUGUAGGGCAACAGCCAUUGCUCUUUCAGUUUGGCCUGGCAAGCAAAGAGGUGGCCUUGCUAUGUAAAGAAAGCCCCUUAAGUAGUCAAAAUCAAAAAUAUUUUUUUUUUCUUUUGCUGGCCAUUUUUCUCCCUCCACCACUCCACCUUUUUUCUUUUCUCUUUUCUUUUGUGAGAAUUUAGCCACUUCAGAGGCCUUAUUCCUCAUAAUUUGGAACUUUCCUUCAGAUUUGAUCAAGUCAGAUAGUUUGAUCAAACCCAAUGGGAAAAAGACUGAAACAACAACAAAAACAGAAACAAACAACAACAAAAAAGCAGUUAAGCCAAAAAACAAUGGCACAACUUGUAAAAUUACUGAGUGUUCUAAUGGUAAGGAGAAAUUAAGACCAGCUAGUUGUUCAUAUUAACUUUAGCCAAAACAAACCCCAAUUCAGUUACUUACUUAGGGAUGAGUCCCAAGCUGAAGACUGCUCUCUACCAUCCUAGAAGCAGGAAAAAUCUCAAAUUUGGCUUCUCUUGGAAGCAAGCUGAAACUCUAUAAAGGAGUUACCUAUCUUCAAUCUUCAUGGAAGCCGGAAAAAUUUGCCUUGUACUGGAAGCAAGUAAAACUCCAAAGGAAGUUGUACAACAAAAUAAACUUUAGAUCUCAACCACAUUUUGGGAAAUCAGGGAUUCUCUGGAGGGGGUGCUUGCAGGCUUCAGCAAAUUGUCCUAUUGGUUUGAGCCAUAAAGCUAGCUCGAGCUGGUACCAGGCACUGAUAGGAGAUUUGUCAAAUGUCAGUGGCACAAACACUCAGAAUCCCUUCAUGGUUGCCAAAAUGUGAACCCUGAAUAUCUGAGACAGGUGUCAGUUAAUUUAGAAAGUUUAUUUUGCCAAGGUUGAGGAUGGGUACCCAUGACACAGUCUCAGGAGGUCAUGACAACAUGUGCCCAAGGUGGUUGGGGCACAGCUUGUUUUUAUGCAUUUUAGGGAGACAUGAGACAUCAAUCAAUAUAUGUAAGAUGUACACUGGUUCUGUCUGGUGAGGUGGGACAAUUCAAGCAAGGAGGGGGCUUCCAGGUCACAUGUAGGUGAAAGACAAAUGAUGGCAUUCCUUUGAGUUUCUGAUUAGCCUUUCCAAAGGAGGCAAUCAGAUACCCAUUAUCUCAGUGAGCAGAGGGAUGACUUUGGAUGGAAUGGGAGGCAGGUUUGCCCUAAACAGUUCCCUGCUUGACUUUUCCCUUUAGCUUAGUGAUUUUGGGGCCCCAAGAUUCAUUUUCCUUUCACAAGUAACUGGCCACAAGAGAAACAGAAACAGGAUUAAGAAAGAGCCCUAACCCCUCCCAUCACAGGCUCCAUCAGCACAUUAGAGAGGAGUACACUAGGUGACUAUAUAUACAUAUUUGUGCCUGUGAUAAUUGCAAAUAAAAUGACACUAACCAUUGUAAAUGUUCAGUUCUUCUCAACUAUUCUUUUUGACCAUCUUGGAAACCCUUGCAAAUAUUUAAAGACAAGCAUUCGUGUAAUAGAGUUCAUCGUAAUACAUUGUGAACCCCAAAUAUCUGAGACGGGUCACAGUCAAUUUAGAAAGUUUAUUUUGCCAAGGUUAAGGACAUACCUGUGACACAGUCUCAGGAGGUCCUGAUGACUUGUGCCCAGGGUAGUUGGGGUACAGCUUGCUUUUAUUUGUUUUAGGGAGACAGGAGAUAUCAAUCAUUAUGUGUAAGAUGUACCUUGGUUCAGUCCAGUAAGGCACACAGGGUUGGGGGGAGCAGAGGGGGAUUCCUUUGAGUCUUUGACCAGCCUUUCACCGAAUACACAAUUUAGUCUGGCUCAGUGAAUCUGCAUUUUUAUAUAAACAAUAUGGCAGAGGAAGCAAUCAGAUAUGCAUUUGUCUCAGAUGAGCCUCAGAAGGAUGACUUUGAUUUCUGUCUAUCCCUUGUCCACAAGGAAAUUCCUUGUAGGCAAAUUGUGAGGGAGGUAUGUAGCCUUUUAUCUUUGUAGCUAUUUUAUUUAGGAAUAAAAUGAGAUGCAGGCAGGUUUGCCUGACAUCGUUUCCAGCUUGAUUUUUCCCUUGGCUUAGUGCUUUGGAGGUCUCGAGAUUUAUUAUCCUUUCACAACAUAUAGAGGAGUGUCUCAAACUUGAUACUACUGACAUUUAGAGUAGGACAAUUCUUGUUGUGGGAUGUCCUGUGUAUUGUAAGAUAAGUUUUUAGGUGAGUUGAAUUUUUUCCUUAAGGUACUUACUACAUUAAAGUUUAAGUACUAAAAUAAGUGGCAGGAGGUAUUGUAUGAGAAAAAAUACUUUCGGGAAGUACAAUAUAUUUUUUUUUUUUUUUUUGCUUUUAGGAACUGGUCUUAUCGAAGCAAAAUUGCUCAAUUAUUCAGUACAAUUGCCUUUCUACAUAGAUGUAAUUAUGGCUAACACUUUUUCACAUCUCAUCAUCCAUGAAUGAUAGGUUAUAGUGCGCCAAAGUUCAAUUAUUUGGUGUUAUCUAAUCUAGAAUGAACUUUACAUAUAUUUAUGUGAACUAAGGUGAAUGAAAUGGAAGAAAAAAGGCAGAGACUAAGAUCAGAUAUCUUUAAAAAGGUAAAUACAUGCCUUAGCAAUCUUACUCACAUUUUGACACUUGGCCUAUUUUAGCAAUAUUAAUCACCCAUGCACAGCCAUUGUCAAAUCAUUUAUACUAUAUGCGACAAGCAUGUUUUUCUGGCUUUGGGUUUUGUUUUUAAAUACAAAGCCCCAUAAUUUGGAACAAUAGCUGGAUAAUUUGGAGUGAAAAAACUGGAUAAGAUCUACCAUCUCCAAAUUUAGAAUGACAGAAAUUGGUUUCCAGUAAGAUAUGUCAACAAAAAGAGUCAAACUCUAUAAAAUAGUUGAAGACAUUUAUUUUGAGCCAAAUAUGAGUGGUCAUGGGCUGUGACACAACCCCAGGUGAUCCUGAGAACAUGUGCCCAAGGUGGUCGGGCUACAUAUAGUUUGGUAUCAUACAUUUUAGGUGGAUGUAAGACAUCAGUACAUGAAAGAUGGUGGUUCAGUCCAGAAACAUGCCCUGAAAAUGUGAGACAACUUGGGAAACAUGAGACAACUCGGGGUGAGGGGGCUGUAUUAGUCCAUUUUCACGCUGCUGAUAAACAUAUACCUGAGACUGGGAAGAAAAAGAGAUUUAAUUGAACUUACAGUUUCACAUGGCUAGGGAGGCCUCAGAAUCAUGGUGGGAGGUGAAAGGCACUUCUUACAUGGUGGCAGCCAAAGAAAACGAGGAGGAAGCAAAAGCAGAAACCCCUGAUAAACCCAUCACAUCUCAUGAGACUUAUUCACCAUCACGAGAAUAGCAUGGGAAAGACCAGCCAGCAUGAUUCAAUUACUUCCCCCUGGGUCCCUCCCAAAACAGGUGUGAAUUUUGGAAGAUACAAUUCAAGUUGAGAUUUGGGUGGGGACACAGCCAAAACAUGUCAUUCCACCCCUAGCCCCUCCAAAUCUCAUGUCCUCACAUUUCAAAACUAAUCAUGCCUUCCCAACAGUCCCCCAAAGUCUUAACUCAUUUCAGAAUUAACCCAAAAGUCCACAGUCCAAAGUCUCAUCUGAGACGAGGCAAGUCCCUUCUGCUUAUGAGCCUGUAAAACCGAAAGCAAGCUAGUUACUUCCUAGAUAAAAUGGGGGUACAGGUAUUGGGUAAAUACAGCCAUUCCAAAUGGGAGAAAUUAGCCAAAACAAAGGGGUUACAGGGCCCAUGCAAGUCCGAAAUCCAGUGGAGCAGUCAAAUUUUAAAGUUCCAAAAUGAUAUCCUUUGACUCCAGGUCUCACAUUCAGGUCAUGCUGAUGGAAGAGGUGGGUUCCCAUGGUCUUGGGCAGCUCUGCCCCGGUGGCUUUGCAGGGUACAGCCUCCCUCCCAGCUGUUUUCACAGGCUGGCAUUGAGUGUCUGCGGCUUUUCCAGGUGCAUGGUGCAAGCUGUCAGUGGAUCUACCAUCCUGGGAUCUGGAGGACGGUGGCCCUCUUCUCACAGCUCCACUAGGCAGUGCUCCAUUAGGGACUCUGUGUGGGGGCUCUAAACUCCACAUUUCCCUUCUGCUCUGCCCUAGCAGAGGUAUUCCAUGAAGCCCCUGCCUGUGCAGCAAACUUUUGCCUGGGCAUCCAGGCGUUUUCAUACAUCUGAAAUCUAGGUGGAGGUUACCAAACCUCAAUUCUUGAUUUCUGUGCACCUAUAGGCUCAACACCACAUGGAAGCUGCCAAGGCUUGGGGCUUCCACCCUCUGAAGCCACAGCCUGAGCUGUAUGUUGGCCCCUUUCAAUCAUGGCUGGAGUGACUGGGACACAGGGCACCAAGUCCCUGGGCUGCACACAGCACGGAGACCCUGGGCCUGGCCCACAAAACCACUUUUUUCUCCUGGGCCUCCAGGCCUAUGGUGGAAGGGGCUGCCAUGAAGGUCUCUGACAUGGCCUGGAGACAUUUUCCCCAUGGUCUCGGGGAUUAACAUUAGGCUCCUUGCUACUUAUGCAAAUUUCUGACACCAGCUUGAAUUUCUCCCCAGAAGAUGGUUUUUUCUUUUCUAUCACAUAGUCAACCUGCAAAUUUUCCAAACUUUUAUGAUCUGCUUCCCUUAUAAAACUUUAACAGUACCCAAGUCACUUAUUGAAUGCUUUGCUGCUUAGAAAUUUCUUCCACCAGGUAUCCUAAAUCAUCUUUCUCAAGUUCAAAGUUCCACAAAUCUCUAGGGCAGGGGCACGAUGCCACCAGUCUCUUUGCUAAAACGUAACAAGAGUCACUUUUACUCCAGUUCCCAACAAGUUUCUCAUCUCCAUCUGAGACCACCUCAGCAUGGACAUUAUUGUCAGCUGUCAUUAUUGUCAACAUGUCAGCAUGUUGGGCAAAGCCAUUCAACAAGUCUCUAGGAAGCUCCAAACUUUCCCACAUUUUCCUGUCUUCUUCUGAGCCCUCCAAACUGUUCCAACCUCUGCCUGUUACCCAGUUCCAAUGUUGAUUCUACCUUUUCAGGUAUCUUUUCAGCAACACACCACUCUACUGGUACCAAUUUACUGUAUUAGUCCAUCUUCACACUGCUGAUAAAAACAUAACUGAGACUGGAAAAAAAAAAGAGGUUUAACUGGACUUACAGUUCCACAUGGCUGGGAGGGCCUUAGAAUCACGGUGGGAGGUGAAAGGCACUUCUUACAGCGUGGUAGCAAGAGAAAAUGAGGAAGAAGCAAAAGGGGAAACCUCUGAUAAACCCAUCAGAUCUUGUGAGACUUAUUCACUAUCGUGAGAAUAGCACAGGAAAGACCAGCCCCCAUGAUUCAACUACCUCCUCGUGGGUCCCUCUCAAAACAGGUGGGAAUUCUGGGAGAUACAAUUCAAGUUGAGAUUUGGGUGGGGACGCAGCCAAACCGUAUCAGAGGGUCAGUUCCAGGUCCCCGCUAAUAUUUGAAUAGGUGGAUUCAAAGGUUUUCUGAAUGGCAAUUGGUUGAGUUUACCUAAGGACCUAGAAUCGAUAGAAGGGAGUGUCUGGGUUAACUAAGGAGUUGUGGAGACCAAGGUUCUUAUUAUACAGAUGAAGCCUCCAGGUAGCAGGCUUCAAAGAGAAUAGACUGUAAAUGUUUGUUGGGAGACUUAAAAAGGUGCCAGACUCCGUUAAUUCUCUUCUGGAUCAGGAAAAAGACCUGGAAAGGGAAGGGGAUUCUCUACAGGAUGUAGAUUUUCCCCACAAGAAACAGCUUUGCAGGGCCAUUUCAAAAUAUGUCAAAGAACUGUAUUUUAAGAUAAAAUACUUGAUUUCUUCAGGGCCUAUUAUCCAUCAUGUUGGUAUUUUAUUGUUCCAAAGAACCUGUUUAGUCAGUCUUCAGGUCUGUUUCAAUGUUAAUGCUGGUCAGCUGUGCCUGAAAUCCAAAGGGAGGAUGUUAUAAUUAGGCAUGUCUGAUCACCUAUUCCAUCAUGGCCUGAAGUAGUGUUUCAUAUUUCAGGUUUACUUUUUUUUAAUUUAUUUUUUAUUUUUUUUGAGACGGAGUCUCACUCUGUCACCCAGUCUGGAAUGCAGUGGCGUGAUUUUGGUUCAUUGCAACCUCCGCCUCCCUGUUCAAGUGAUUCUCCCACCUCAGCCUCCCAAGUAGCUGGGAUUACUGGUGCAUGCCACCACACCUGGCUAAUUUUUGUAUUUUAAGUAGAGACGGGGUUUCGCUGUGUUGGCCAGGCUGGUCUUGAACUCCUGACCCCAGGUGAUCUGCCUGCCUUGGCCUCCCAAAGUGGUGGGAUUACAGGUGUGAGUCACUGCGCCUGGCCUCAGGUUUACUUUAGAAUGUUCUUGGCCUAGAGGAGUGGUCCAUUCAGGUAGUUGGAGGGCUUAGAAUUUUAUUUUUGGUUUACGGAUAUUAGGGUAUUGCUCAUUAUUUUCCAUCUUUCUAGAUCACCUCCCAUAUCAGCUGCUCAAACCUCAUCUUCUACAUUCCUCUUUCUUUCUUCAACCUUCACUUAGAGCUCAGGUCCUGAGAUCAGACUUGAGUGAGAUUUCCUUUAAACUAAUGGGAGGAGGUAAGUAACUGUAACAUACAAAGAUGAAUAAUAAGUACAUGAAGAGGUGGGCACCAUGGCUCAUGCCUGUAAUCCCAGCACUUUGGGAGGCCAAGGCAGGCGGAUCACCUGAGGUCAGGAGUUUGAGAUCAACCUGGCCAAUAUGGCAAAACCCCAUCUCUACCAAAAAUACAAAAACUAGGGCCAGGCACAGUGGCUCACACAUGUAAUCCCAGCACUUUGGGAGGCCAAGGCUGGCAGAUUACCUGACGUCAGGAGUUCAAGACCACCCUGGCUAACGGUGAAACCCCGUCUCUACUGAAAAUACAAAAAUUAGCCCGGCGUGGUGGCAGGCGCCUGUAGUCCCAGCUACUCGGGAGGCUGAGGCAGGAGAAUUGCUUGAACCCAGGAGGUGGAGGUUGCAGUGAGCCAAGAUCAUGCCACUGCACUCCAGCCUGGGUGACAGAGCAAGACUCCCGUCUCAAAAAAAAAAAGAAAAAAGUACAUGAAGAGCCAUUAUACUAUGUUCUCUCAACUUUUGUGCUUUAUUGGAAAUGUCCAUAAUAAAAAGUUAUCUUUAAUUAUUCUCCAGUGAGAAGAGUGAGUCUACAGGACUCAGAUAUCACUCGCCCUGUCCCAACACAUUAUCAUGGCGUCUUUAUCUUCUAUAAGAAGACAAUGAGAUUUUUCUAGGAAAAAAAGCUCACCACUUCCCAUGUGUUCUGGAUCCCAACAAGUCAGGUCUCCUGAGACAUUUUGCUUCUGAAAAUAUCCUUUCUUGUUCCCACAUCUUCAAUCUUGCCCCCUUUUGAUGCCUACCCAUCUUCUUUAGCACACUCAAACUUCUCCAUGUUAAAAAAGUUCUUCACUUGAACUUCACAGACCUUUUGUAACUCUACAUGAAAACAAGCACAUUUAUAUUUUUCAAAAAUCCAUGUAAACUAAAAAUUGGCUUGGAAAAGGUCAAAAGAGUUUCCUUGCUUUUUUGACAAUGACAAUAGCACACCUCAGCAGCAUGUAUUACAAAUAGUACACGAUACAAAAAGAUUUGAACUCUUUCAACUAAUUUUAGUAAUAACAUCAGAAAAUGUUUAGGCUGGAAGGGAAACUUUAUCUCCUCCAGACUCUCAUUUGUACAGAUGAGAGGAAAGGACUCUCCAAUGAUUAUCACAACUUUGCUUAGAUUGACCCAGCAGGUAGCCCUCUGAGAUGGGGCCAAAGCCCCAGUCUUUUGGCUACUGCUCUUCCAUCAUAAAGCCCCCAGGGAUCUUCUUGAAUAAGAUCAAGUCAAAUUCCAAGUACAAUUCAAUUGUAGGGAGAAAAUUCCUUCUGUAUCUUUUGUUGUUUAACAUGUACACUGAAGUUAAGAAAUAACUAACUAUUUGUUUUCACCAAUUAAGAAAUUUAACAUUGGGAGGCCGAGGCGGGCGGAUCACGAGGUCAGGAGAUCGAGACCAUCCCGGCUAAAACGGUAAAACCCCGUCUCUACUAAAAAUACAAAAAAUUAGCCGGGCAUAGUGGCGGGC
rnacentral:lncRNA from 1 species